GGAGAGGAAGAUACAGCGGUGAUGGGUAUAGGUAGGACACACAUACUUUUGAAGGAUUCGGGAGAAACCCUCUUCCUCUGCUCUCCCACACCAUAUCCCACCUCAUAUAGCUCUAGCCACAUCCCCAUAUAUUUUUAUUUACAUAUUUCCAUAGCCAUAAUAUCACGUUUAAUGCUUCCUUAUCGAUUUCAAAUCAAAUUACUUAACAAAAGAAAAAACGGCACUUUUAAAGUUUCCAUAGUGGAGGGAACGAGGACAGGACCUUGCCACCAGUGACUGGCUGACUGGUGCCUGGCACCGUAUCGGAUUCGGGGCGAGGGCGGAGCACACGCCCUGGCUGCACCCCGCACCUGUAACCUUUGCGUGCGACUGUGGCAAUCGAUGCUGGGGUUGGAACGCUUAAGGCUUCAUGUGAAAAUAUGAAAUACUUUCCCAGGACAUGCAACACAUGCACAUACAUAUGUGUUAUGGUAAAAAAAAAAUAACAGGAAUCUUGCAGAACAUGUGAUAUCCUGCUUUCUGGCAGUCACGUUGCCAAUGCUGUUAUUCUUUGGCUUGACCUACCCGUUGCCUCCCCCUCCCUCCUCCCCCCUCCCGCUAUUUCCCCUCAUUAACCAUGAAGGCUGUGAAUAAUAAAUCAACAGGCCGUACAUAAUUAAUGCUUAAAAAACAGUGACGAGGGGGGAGGGCGAGAGCGGUGUGUGUGGUGCAAGAAGAAAGGAUUGCUGUCGCUCGACGGUGACAGCCUCAUUAGUUGCCACAGAAAUACGACAAACGCACGCACACAUGUGCACUAAUUGCGGCCUGUCGAAAAUAUUUGUAUGAAAUGUAGCAUACAUUGCAGCGGCGACGCACUGUUUCCCUGGGAUUCCCCCGCAAUUCGGUUUGCCUUACCCUUGGCGCGUGCGCAGUGACGCACUGAAUGACCAGAAGCGCCAAAAACUAUCCAUCAUCAUCAUCUCAUGUCUGUAUGUGUGUGUGUGUGUGUGUGUGUACGGGAUCCGCGUCUCUAAUGAGUCACGUUUCCGCCUGCCACUGCCGCCGUCUGCUGCUGCCAACUGUUGAAAGGCUCAGGCGUGACAUACAAACAACAAAAAGUGGCGCAGCUUUUCAGCUGCUGGCCAGUUGCCCCUCCUGCGUCCUGCGUCCUGUGUCCUGCCGCCUGUCUUCUUCUGAAUUGACAAAUUUUCCUCCACACAAAUCUAAAAUUAUGCCAGCGCACAGAUUGAGAUGGGAAAACUAAAAUUGUAACAACUUUGGCGACAUUCACGGCCGCCAAAAGUAACAGCAACAACAAACGACGACGGAGACGUGCUCUUGAGCAGGGCGCGCGCGACACUCGAGGUGUAGGCAACAACUAUAGGGACCGUUACGCCGUGUGACUGUUAAGCCGCCAUAGUCGCAGUCGCACGGAUUUCAAGAUUGUCGACUAGCCUUUCCCGCUCUUCGUCACCUCUACUUUCCAAAAGCCGUCGUCAAAAAAGCGGCCCACACACACACACACACACACACA